AAGACUAUACUUUCAGGGACCAUUUCUAUAGUUUGUUACUAAAGAAGUUCCUCUGAAUGUGUAGACUACCAUAAAAU
ensembl:snoRNA U3 Small nucleolar RNA U3